AAUCAACGCUGGCGGCGUGCCUAACACAUGCAAGUCGCACGAGAUCUUUCCUUCGGAUCUGAGUAAAGUGGCGCACGGGUGAGUAACACGUGAAUUAUCUACCUUCGAGUGGGGAAUAACUUCGGGAAACCGAGGCUAAUACCGCAUAAUAUCUACGGAUCAAAGCAGUAAUGCGCUUGAAGAGGAGUUCGCGGCAGAUUAGUUAGUUGGCGGGGUAAUGGCCCACCAAGACGAUGAUCUGUAUCCGGCCUGAGAGGGCGCACGGACACACUGGAACUGAAACACGGUCCAGACUCCUACGGGAGGCAGCAGUGGGGAAUUUUGCGCAAUGGGGGAAACCCUGACGCAGCAACGCCGCGUGGAGGAUGAAGUCUCUUGGGACGUAAACUCCUUUCGAUAGGGAAGAUUAUGACGGUACCUAUAGAAGAAGCCCCGGCUAACUUCGUGCCAGCCGCCGCGGUAA
rnacentral:rRNA from 1 species